AGAGUUUGAUCAUGGCUCAGGAUGAACGCUAGCGGGAGGCUUAACACAUGCAAGUCGAGGGGCAGCGAGGGUAGCAAUAUCUGUCGGCGACCGGCGCACGGGUGAGUAACGCGUAUGCAACCUACCUCUAACAGGGGCAUAGCCCGGGGAAACUCGGAUUAAUACCCCAUAAAAUUCAGAAUUCGCAUGUUUUUUGAAUUAAAGUCACAACGGUUAGAGAUGGGCAUGCGUCCCAUUAGCUAGUUGGUAAGGUAACGGCUUACCAAGGCUACGAUGGGUAGGGGGUCUGAGAGGAUGAUCCCCCACACUGGUACUGAGACACGGACCAGACUCCUACGGGAGGCAGCAGUGAGGAAUAUUGGUCAAUGGGCGCAAGCCUGAACCAGCCAUCCCGCGUGCAGGAUGACAGCCUUAUGGGUUGUAAACUGCUUUUGUACAAGAAGAAACCCCUAUACGUGUAUAGGGUGACUGUACUGUAAGAAUAAGC
rnacentral:rRNA from 1 species